AAUUCUCAACCUCACCUAGUUUUCGAACUUGUGUGAUGGCUUGGACUUGGGAGUUUUGCAGGCUGCAGUCUAACUGCGGUUCUGCUCUCCUUAAAUAUAUUAGCAGGUCUUUUACCUCUAUCCCAACGGUGUGAUAAUCUAUCUACGCUGCUGGUUUGGAGACCCUUUAUUGGGGGACUAGCUUAUAACCGUCCGCAAGGACAAAAUGACCAA
rnacentral:misc_RNA from 1 species